GAAGAUAACUUCUUUGGUGGGCUCUCAGAAUAUGCCCUUGAGUGGAAAUGAUGAAGUAAAGGUAAAUAUUAUUGAGUGGGGGGGUACAAGGGGCAUACACUGAAACUUAGGAAACAGUAGAUGUCAGUUCAUGACUAUCUUGAUAGCCAUGGACAUCGUUGGAUUUUUCCCAAAAUAUUAGAAUCCAUCUAGAGACUUUGAGCAGGAAAAUUGCAUGUUCCAGUAAUAGCUUCACUGUUACUUCUAGUUGCAGUAUGAAUUUAAUGGGAGCCACAGUGAAGGAAGGGAAGAGCCUCCUCAGGACGGCACAAUUUACCCAUAUCUGAGAUGAUGGCUGCUUUUACUAUUUACUAGCAGUAUUGUCAGAGAGAAGUGGGUGAAAUCAGGAGAUAAUUUCUGAUGGGAUCUCAGCUGGGUUAGUUCUAAAAGAGAGAAAAUCAUGAAGAUGACUUUUGACUUUCUAGCUGGAGCAGGCACAUGUUCUUUUUUUUGCCAAUUAUGGUAGUUGAGAAAAAAAGAAGGAAAGGCAGCUUGCAGCAGGGGAAGUUGAAGAUUAAUCACUGUUAUUUCUCACUAUUAUUGAGACUUUCAUUUUAGUUUUUUUUGUUUUUUUUAAGUUGUUAUAUCUCUUUAAUGUGAAAUAGUUUGUCAUUCUUUGCCUUUAAUAACCUUGACAUUUUUUUUUAAUUUUUUAUUGUUGGUUGUUCAAAACAUUACAUAAUUCUUGAUAUAUCAUAUUUCACACUUUGAUUCAAGUGGGUUAUGAACUCCUAUUUUUACCCCGUAUACAGAUUGCAGAAUCACAUCAGUUACACAUCCAUNCUUUGUCCCUACUCUGUUCUUAGUUACUCUCCUUAUAUCAAAGAAGACAUUUGGCAUUUGUUUUUUAGGGAUUGGCCAGCUUCACUUAGCAUAAUCUGCUCUAAUGCCAUCCAUUUCCCAGCAAAUUCAUUUUAGAAUACAAGAAAAUAAGAUAUAAAUAUUUAGGAGGUUGCAAGGUACAAGGACUUGAAAGGGAGAUCAGAUGUGCAAUGUUUGAAGUUUAGGGGUUGAAGAUGUGUAGUAAGGGACUCAGAAUUGAACAGGAAAGACCUGCAAGCUUGUAAGGAAGAGACAGAAAGAUUUAAGGAAGAGAAAGGAUCUAAGAAUCUGAAUGCAAAUCUGAAUGAAAACCAGGGAGGGGUGAUUUCAUAGAAUGAGACAUUAUUUCUUCUUAUCACAUAUUUUCUUAAAGUCUCAGCAGCUUUUGAAACAGCUACCUACUCUUUCCUGGAGAGGAGAGAAAGGCUUGAUAAAGGUAGGAGGAGAAGAGAUUAAGCCUACAAUUGGAGGGGCUGGUCUCUAGAAGAAUGAAGCACUAACUCACAGAUAAUAGGGAAAAUGAAUGGGCAAAGUAAAACGAAUGGUUGCUAACAUAUGCAGGAGUGUAGACUUGAUGGAAAAACAAAUCACGGAAUGACAUCUGUCUUGCCUGCCAGGCGUCCUUCCUGAUUAUUUUGGCAAUAGCACUUUGAGGAGUGCCACCACUGGGAGUUUAAAUGAGCUGCUUGCACUCUCUCUGACAUCAAGGGAAUGUGACUACAUUUUUUAUGGUAACCAAAUUAUCAUACACCCAUGGCCAUAUUCAUGAUGCACACCUAUACAUGCAAAUGAUUUCUUACUGGUUUUCAAGAAAAAAAUGUGUGAUUUACUCAGCAAAAUUAGCAGCAAACUAUGGUCAAACUUCCUAUUCCAAAACUCAAUUACUAUUUCUCCUUUUCUGUUAACUUACAUUCUAUUUCAGUUUCUGCUGUUUCUUGCUACCAUAGUCCAAAAUCUGGACAGAACAUCCGUUGCUCUCAGGACUCUCUGAUCUUUCCCCCAGAGUCAAAGGUUCACUGAGUGACAAUCUCACUUAGCCCCUUAGUCUAUGAAGUCCCAGAAGGCAGCACCCUCAAGAAUCCAACAAUAAAUUAAUCCACAGGAAAGCAAUAACAGGCCUGUCUGUCAGAGUUUUUCCUAUGUUAACUGCAGUCUUAAAAGUUCUUAAUUGGGUUCUGAGAUUCAAGGUCUCUGACUGUUCAUUGCUAGACAAACUUAUUAAAACCUUUAUCUGUUAUAAUUAAUACCAGAUCACACUGUCUUCUACUCACUACUUGAUGUAAAUAAGCACAGUGAGUUGAAUUCAAUAUUAUCAAUGUAUACAAAAAAAUUGUUAAAUAUGCCUUUUUCCACAAAUCCAUCUUUUAACAUUCACAACAAUGUAUGGAAAAGGUCUUACUAUCAUUCCCUUUUACAGAUUAGCAAAUGAGGUGUUAAAAAUUAGGUAACUUGCCCUGUCAUGUACCUAUUAAGUCAGUCAAUUAAUUUUGAAAUUAUUCAGGUCCUGAUAUGGUAAAUUGAAUAGUGUUCAAAAAAAAAAAAAAAGAGUGGUUAUAAGUUCAAUUCACCCCAGGACAAUAACCAGAUACAUUGGUAUAUGUUCAGAUAUUCAAGUAUCAGUUUUAAGUACUUGUACAUUGAAGAUAAAAUGAUAUAGCAGCUAAAUUUAGUGAAGCAUGGAUUUUAACCAUAAAACAAUCCUUUAGCAGGUACAAUUGAAAAAAGAAAAAGAAAAAAAAACUGCUUCUCCAAUUAUUGACAGCCACCAGGAGGGUGCUUACAUUUGAAUUACAGCAUGUCAGUUUUAUUUUCUAAGUUGCAGGAAAAGUGCAGAUUUUAAUUAAGUUUAAAGUGUCCACCAGGAACAAUAAUAUUAUAUGAGACAUGGCCAAUUGCAUGUUAAGAAACAUGGCAUUUAGCCACUGUAGCCAUUUUUAUAGCUACUAGAGAAAAAAAAAGAGUGAAAAGCAAUAUGAUCUAAUGUAUCUCUCAUUCAGCAAUGAAUUAUUGUCAUUUUUGCAUAUGUAUUUAAAUUAUAAUGGAGAGAGUAGGCUGUAUACAGAUUACAAGCAUGAUUAGAUUAAGUAAAUAAUAGUAUUAUAUAAGUAAUAAUGAGGAUUAUUGAUUAUUAUUUUACUUAAAGCAAAUAUGAAAACAUAUUUGUUAGCACAAAUUUUGCAUAGUUCUCUUUAAUGUGUGUGUUCUGAGUUCUAUUCAUAUAUUAAGGUAAUAAGUAUUGAAAAUUAGGUAUGUGCUGGGAUUUAGGAUACCAGAGUUGAAGAAUGUAGGGUCUCCUGACUUCAGAUGGAGGAAUAAAAUAUUUUCUUUUUCUAAGUAAACUCUGAAGGACAUUACAAACACGAUUUAGAAUACAACAACUAGGCCAGUUGAGGCAGGGACCCUUAAUUAUCAUUUACUGGUUUUCCCCUCUAGUCAUUUAUUCUUUCAGCUAUUUGUUUAUUGAUUCCACCAAGAAAUAAUUACAGUAACAAAUAGGAACCAGGUACUUUCUUUUCCCUGAAUUAUGUUAGUUUUCUUAAGGGAAAUCAGACAUGUAACACAAAAAUUUAAAUCUAGGGAGAUAAUUUUAACUUUGCCUUUUAAAAUCAAAGGAGACAUAAGAGGCAACACUUGAUCCAAGUAUUAAAUGAGUAGGAGUACAACACUCAGCAGAGAAUUUCAGGAAGUCUCCCACAUGGUUCAAUUUACUUCAGCAUAUAUCAAUUGAAUGACUUCAUUGCAUAAAUAUUUUGGGGAUAUUAUUAUCAGGGAAUACAAAGAAACAAACAGUACUUACGUUUUAGAAAUGCAGUCUAUAACAUUAAUCAAGCAAGUAAACAAGUAAGUGAAAAUCCUGUGAAAUAUUAAAAAAGGAAGAAUUAAUUAUUCAAGUGGCUGGACUAACAGAAGGUGAUGAUGAAUAUGGGUUUCCCUUACAGUGGGGGGAGGACAUCCAAGAAGGAAAGUCACCCAGACUGGAAAUAUAGGGUAGUGUGAGAUGACAAAGUAUUCUAACCUGCUGGAGGACCAUGUUCAAGGGAAAGAGCAAAAGACAAGAGUGUAAUAGAAUCUUGAAUAACUUACUAAGAAGCCCUGAAUCAUUGGCCAGAGUAUCAGGAGCCUCUAAAUUGAAUAUACUCUGCAAGGAACUGGGCAUAAGAUAAUGCAUAGCAAUGCCUGAAGAAAAAUGUUUGUCUUCUGAUCAUAUUUGUUUCAUCUUAUUUUCUUCUUUUGGGUAUAUUUUAUAAUUUCUGAAACAUGAUAAGUCAUGUAUAUAAUUUAUAAAGAAAAGAAUACAAAUACCUUGAAGGGAAUUGAAGCUGAUGGUUGUAGAUGAUGGGGGUUCAUACAAAGAGAGAAAGUGAUAAAGACAAACAUUUGCUUUGGAAGAAAACACAUAGUUAAGACAGCCAUAGGAAGGCUAGUUAGCAAACUGGUAGACUCAGAAGAACUAGUAGGGGUGUGAACUAAUUUGGAUUUAUUAGAAUUGGAGAUAGAUUUUAAAGCAUUAUAUUCAAGAAAUGAUCAAGGAUGCAAGUAACAGUCUUGAUUGACUAGAUAACCAGCUCAUUCUCUGGCCACUUGUCAGGCCCUGGACGCUCUGGGCCACAAAGAGUGCUGCAUUCAAUCCUCUUAGUGAUGAGCAGGUUACGAUUUUUCAUAUAAAAAUUAGGUUUAAAGAAGUUAAAAAUUUCAUCAAAAGGUACAUAGCUGGAAAGAGGCAAUUCUUGACUUAAAACAAGGUUAAUAAGACACUAGAGCUAUAAGUUAAUAAAACUCCAGAGUCAAGCAGUUAAUCACUUGCCUCUGAAGGCAGAAAAGUCAGGAAGGAAAAGGAAAGCAGGAAAUUGAUGCAGAAGACAGGGGUUAGUAUGAGAAAGUAAAUUUUUCUAAGGAUUUUCAUCUAUAUCUUGAAUGGUGUUGAGAAGUCAUGAAAUACAUUGUCCAGGAGAUAAAUAUUUAAACUCAUCACCUAGUGAUUCCAAACAUAGACCAGAAAAGUUCAAAGUUCUACAAGUUAAGGGUACAUUACUAAGAAUUAUGAUUCUUAUACUUAUUUGUAUCACGUAGAACCAUGAAACAGUCACAAACUUAGAUUUGAUAAUGAAGCAGCAGUUGAAAAAUAUGUAUUUUGAAACACAAUGCCAAAAAAAAUAGACAACAAAAGUCCAAUUAUAUAAUAAUUUCCAGUUUGGGAAGAACUUUAAUAUUUGAUUGUAAGUAUGAUUUAAUGAAAAUAUAUCACAGUUUGCUAAAUUAGUUCAAUGUCAUUUUCAAGAAAAAAAAUGCUACAACUUUCAACAAAACUAAACAGAAUAAUGGAAUUAUUUCUAUUUACUUAUAACUCAAGGUUUUUUUCUUUAGUAUUAUCAAAAAAUUAGAGAGAUUCCGAAGUUAAAAAGACCACCCUAACAAACUUGGCAAUCAUCUUUUUCUUUGCUUAAGAAGGUAUAAUUUUCAAGUUGGGUGAAACUCUUGGGAUGCUACCAGUGGCAUUUUGAUAGAAGAGGGAGUUAAUGCUAUUGAGGGACCUCAAAAUCACCUUCCUCCUGAUUAUCUUGGGGUUUUAGAGCUCUUGGAUAUUUCUAUGUUUCUUAAAGGGGAUGACUGCUGGUGGUCAGAGAUAUGCAGAUGUGGCAAUCCUGAAGGACUCAAAUGACACUCAAGGGAAGCAAACAAGAUAGUUUUCUUUAAAAAUGGUUUGUGGUUUUUUAAGAGAUUUUAGGAAACAUUCCACAGUAUUGAUUGAGGUAAAGGAAUAGAUAUGCAAAAUACCAGAUACCAUGAAAAAGGAAGUUAAAAAAAUAAACCUAUUUAAUAUUAGAGACAAUUAGCAAUUACAGCAAAUUCUGACAAAUAAUGCAACCACAAAUGCACACAUACACAGAGUCACACACAAACUGCCCGCAUGGUGUGCACAUUAUUGUUCAGUUAUUCUAGAGCUAAAAGUAGAGAGAAUUUAAGGAAUCCUGUUUCACCCAAUGAUAUGUUUAUCCCAGAGGAUGGAGAUUAUAGAGGAUAAGAAAGCUCGUUAUAGUUCUUAUUUCACAGAUAUGAAAGGCAAAAUUGAAUUUCUUUAAGCACAAUGUGGGCAUAUUGUAACAUAAUAGUAAUAAUAUUCUUACCUACAUUUCUUAUUUGUGGUUAGUUAAUGCUCGUUAGUUAAAAUCAUACACUCUAAAAUGCUUUCUUCCCUUUGAAGCAACAGAUUUCAUUUAUUCCUGGCAAAUCAUCAAUUUGUAUCCCUCUUGAAACCCAUUCUUAAUAUUUUACUUGAUUAAAUAUUAAGUAAUUUGAAAAUUGUGCUAAACUCACCAAUAGUGACACCUAUUGGUGGGAUGUAAUUAUAAAACGGAUAUUUUUUAACCUACAAAUAAAAAUAGUUAACUUUAUUCAUAAAUUAGAAUUAUUGUUAAAAUUUUGAUGUCUAUUGUGUCAUCAUAAGGGUUGGAAUAUUGUUAAUUCUCAGAAUAAAUAUGCCAAAAUGAUCCAAUUCUAUUAAUUUCGAUAUAGUUUUAAGCUUUAGUUGUAUCACCAUAGCUAAUGUUUCUUUUCUAUCUCAUGGGAGGACGUUAUUUGUACGAUUCAUAUCAGCUGUGUUUUGGCAGAUUCCGCACCUCUUCCCCAGUUUUUCCUGGGGAUGAGUGAUUUCUAAAUGCAAUUAGAUUAUUGCCUUAUUUACUCAUUCAUUGUAAAUGAAUGGAAAGAAACGUUUCCUAGUGAGAAAAUGCCUACAAAUAAGAAACUCUUCAUUUACUUCCAAUAUCAAAGAUAAAUAGGUAUAUGAUAUUGGUUGUGUUAAACUUUAAAACACAAACUACUGUAAAACAUACUGUAUAGAUUACUUAAAUUGCUAUAAUGUGCCACAAUCAAGCUCGAACUUCAAAAUGUAACUAUGGUAUAUAUAGUAGAUUUUUGACAUACACAUAUUGUUAUUUAUGUUUUGCUUUGUUUUAGGAGCCUCUGGUGAGAACUUAAUGAAACAAAUAUGUGCAGUUAUAUUAAUUGCUUUAAUUAGUUCCUCACCUGUAUUUUUAAUUACAUUUGCAAGGAAAAACAACACAGAGUCAGAUACAGUCACACAAACUUUGUAAAUAUAUCUUUUACUACUCAUUUAUUAGCUGAAAUAGAUUUAAGCGUCUUUAUCAAAGAGAAAUUAAAAGACACUUCCUAGGGCCAAUAACAGAAUAGUUAAGAAGUGAUGAAUUAAGCAAGAUCAGGAAAAGAUUUUCUAUGAGAUUGGUGGUCACAAUAUUGUACAUGCCUGCAUCCCAGACACUACACUCAUUUCUUCCCUGGUUCAUUCAGUCUUGCUUCAAAAUGUUAUUUGCUUAGUGAGGGUAUCUCAAAAAACUGGCCAUUGUAUCUGGUAAGAAUGCAUUCCUCUAUAUAACUGCUUUCUCACAUGUAAUUUUUCAGAAUAUAUUUUGCAGUAUAUCCAGUCAGAUGCUAUGCAAUAGUUUUUCAAAAUAUAGGUUAGUACUUAAUUUUAAUACUUAGGCAGAAAAAUAUUCUGAUUGGAAUAGUUGAGUAGAAAUAUACCAUAAUAAUUUGGAGGAGUUCUCAGGAUCUUUAUUGAAGGAACAGUGACAUUACUAUUAAGUACAGAAUCAACACCAUCAGAUAGGGAUUUACACAUAAAGUAUCCAAAAUUGCUCUGGGAAAAAAUGUUUUAACAACAACAACACAUAAAUUGUGCACAGCAUACUUCUGGUUUAAAUUUUUAAUUUUUCCCCUCAGAACAGCUUCUAAUAGGGCCUAAUAUGAUGUCUCUCGUCCUAGGCUACCAUUUCUAGUCCAGUUUGGUCUGAACUGGUAAGACCCUGACAAUCAAGAUAAUCCUUGAUAAUUUUUGAGAAAAUAUUACAUAUUUUUUACAUGUUAAGGGUGACUGCAGAGGAUUUUUUUCAUCCCGCUUCUAUGGAGGCUUUGCCUUUUUCAAACAACCUGCCUUACUGUUGAACAUUAUCAAUUCAAGUUUCUUUGGAUAAAAGACACAGAAAAUGCCUUUUCCUAACUUAAAGCUAACAAUUUUUUCCCAAAGUCAAAAGAAAAAUAUGAAAGAUAUUCUAUCGCUGUUAUUUCUGAAUUGGUUGGGAGAAAAAUCAGAUCCCAAAUAAACCACAACACACACACAUACACACACACACCAAAAAUAUUUUUUUUUCUGAAAUUAUAUGCUACCCUGCCUAUAAGUAGAAAUCUUAUCCCUACUAUAUUCUAACCAUAUACAGAUUGUUUCUAGGGUAUUGUUGAUAGUGUUGAUACUCCUGAGAGCUGAAUAACUAUGUUCAGCAGCCUUAGAAGUGAGAAUAACAAGAAUAAUUUCCCAUUAUGCCGUGCAAAAAAAAGGAAAUAAAUUGUUUAAGUAUGAGAAAUAAGACAGAUAUUUUGUAUUUCAUAGCUAACGUUUGUAUAGUACUAUGAUUGCCUAUGCUCUAGGCAGGAUAGUGGACCCUUCUUCCUCUAACUACAUCUUGAGUGGCUCAAAUGCUCUCAGAUGUAAAUCUUUCUCCAUAAUUCUAAACUCUACAAUUUCAGCUAGCUUCCUUUUUUCAUUUCAAAUCAUGUAUUUCUUCAUUCUUAAAUAUCUUCUAUAGUCUAUAUAUCUGACUACCUGUUCAUGUUACAAGUAUGAAAACAAACCCAGUAAGUACUGAUAUAAGGCUACAAUGAAAUCAGAAUUCAGGGACAUAAAUAAAUGAAAAUAUGUCAGUUUGAUCUCAGUAAUAAUGGCUUUGUCUUAUUUAACUUUAUUUAGGCAACACAUAGAUAGUGUUCUCUAUCCUAUUAGUUAUUUGAAAAAUUAGUUAUUUAAUAAAUCAGUUAUUUAAUAAACUUAAUAAAUUAUUAGUUACUUAAUAAAUUAGUUAUUUAUAGUUAAUUAAAAAUACAUGGUCAUGACUGCUGAAAUAGAGAUACAUAUUCAACACUAUUAGAGCACUGAAAAAGAACCAAUCAAUUGCCUAGGGUUCCAGGAUAGUUUUCACAUUUGAACUGAAAGGUGAAGAGAAGUGUAAAACAACUAUGCUAGACAUGGGGGAAAUAAUGAGACACUUGUUUUAGAAGACAGGUGUGUCCUAAAAUGCUCAAUCAAAUGACACCUGAAGGCACAAAUUUUAACUUUUGUAAGAAACAUGUUGUUUAUCAGAUAGCAUGAGGAGCUUCUUGGCCUUCUUGGUAAGUCAAUUCACAACCUAAACAUUUCAUCUAGAUGAUGUAGUGGUCUCUGAUACAUAAUGAAUAAUUAGGUUUUUGAUGCAGUACACAGAGGGUGAGAGAAAAUUGAGUGGAGAUGCUCAAAAUAAACCACUAUUUAUUAUUUUGCAGUGAAUUCAAUACAAAAAUCAAUGAACAAAUUCACCUGUGGCUUGACAUUUUUAAAAGUUUACAUACUUUUUUAAAGAGAGAGAGAGAAAAUUUUUUAAUAUUUAUUUUUUAGUUUUCGGUGGACACAACAUCUUUAUUUUAUUUGUAUGUGGUGCCAAGGCGAGCAUGCUACUGCUGAGCCACAUACCCAGCCCAAAAGUUUAUAUUUUUAAAAUGUUUAUUAUGUAUGUAUUCUUAUCCAGUUUAACACACAUGUCAAACUAUAUUUCAGGCCCUUAUGAUUUCUAAAAGUUGAAAAGAAGUAACAAUGGCCUUACAAAGUAAGCUUCAUAAAUAGGAUUUAUAGCUUAGGGUCACAAGUUUUUGGCUAAUAAGGACAGAUUUCUUUUUAUGCUAGUUGUACAUUCUAACUUGCAGAGUAAAAACAUGCCUUAGUAACAAAAUUUAAUAAAAUGUAUAAUUCAUAUGUUUAAAAAACUCUUUAACACAAAUUUGUAGAUGCUUAAUUUUACCAGCUCUAGACAAUUAAAGGAGAGUGCAUAAAAAAAUAAGAUGUAUCUGUUAAGAAAAUUUCAAACAGAAGCAAAACAUGGGGAAAUGAAGAUUGAGAAAUUCAUGAUUAAAAUGGCUUGGAGGUUCCCAUUGCAUUUAGUAGGAGAUAAAAGUAAAAUUCACAGCAGUUGAUUCUUGAAUACAUAUCAUACUAAAACCUACAGAAGUCAACUAGUCGGGAAGUCACAUCUCUCAUGGCACAAGGAUCACUCAAUGCAAUUUAAACUCAGCCAUCUUGUUGGGAUGGUAGUUUCAUAAACUUCAAAUGUUGAAAUUAUGUAAAUUAUGUAACUGGUAGCUAAACCUGUGGGAUUCUCAUUUCUAAACAAUUUUAGCAUUGUGUAGACUGAUUUAGGGUAAUUGUUAUGUUCCAUAGGGUUGCACAAAAUUCCCUAGUUGAGCUGAAGGGUAACACUAGGGAGUGAAUGGGCAGGAUGGUGUUGGAUCCAGGAUGAUACCUUGUAUAUGAUGAGACAAUGCAGGCAGCUGCCAGGGAAAGUACUCAAGAAAUGAUACUCUUCCUUUAUUUUAUUUGUUUCUUAGUUUAUUCAUAUACCAUUUUUCCCAGAAAAAAAAAGAAGAAAACUAAAAUAGCUUGAGAAUAUGCAUUUGUAUCUGCAGGAUUAUGAAAAGAUGAAAAAUGAGAACACUAGAAUAUUUAAUGAGAAUUAAAAGUUGGGAUCAGGGAGAUUAAUGUGGAGUCUCUGUGCAAAUUGUGGCAUAAAUUUGUGAGUUUUUUGCAGCAAGUGCAAAGGAGAAUAUGUUUACUUAUAUGGCUGAACAUUUUUCAUAUCUUAAUGUUAUUUGUAUCAGAAGUAGUCCGAGCAUUCCUAACACUAGCCCUUAAGAUACAUAUUUAUCAUAUAAGCAAGACUGUGAAAUGUAGUGAAGUUCCUCAAAUCCUGUUUCAUGAAAAGGGAAGUUACAUGAGGAAUAAAGGUGAAGUAUCACAUGGUGGCUUACCUACCUAAGUUUUCUGGUUCUACAUCCGAGAGAGCACCAUUUAAAACAGUUGAUCAGCAAUUCAGUAGUGCAUAUUUUAGGAAUGUACCCAGGUCAUUACAAAUGUGGUUCAUACAUAUGUAGUUAAUAAUGGGAAAUAUGCUUUGUCGCUGAAUUUUUGCAUUAACUAAAAAUCUGCAGCUGUGGAAAAAUAAGCUGAGUUUUGAUUCAACCUCAAUUAUAAAACUAUCAGAGUCACACUCAAAUAAAUGCACAUAGAAGUAUUCUUGAUAGUACUUCAAAAGAUUAGCAAUAUUAACUUUUUUGUGAAUUGUGUACAUCCAUAUAUCUUCUAUUAAAAAUAUAAAAAUUUUGCCAUUCAAAUAUUUAUAUGGUUAUCUCUGCAUUCAUUCACUCAUUCGUUUAAUAAAUAUUUAUGAGAGCAACUACAUACCAGGCACUAUUUCAAGUGCUUGAGGUAUAGCCAUGGACAAAACAGGUAAAGAUCCCUACUUCCAUGGAUAUUGCAUUCUAGCAAGUAGAUCAUCAAUAAACAACAAAUAAAAAUUAUGAGUUAAAGAUUUUUCAUAAAUACUCUUGGAAAACAGAAAUAAAGCAUGAUUAGGAGCAGGGCUGCAACAUUAAAUAGAGUAAUUACAGCAAGUCUCACACUGAGGAGAUGGAGCACAGAGUGGAGGACAGACAGUAAGAGGGUGUAUUCUGGUAAAUGUCAUGCAAUGCACAGUAAACAAGGUGAUAUGGCUCUCAGGUAAACAUGCUUGUAAUACAGGCCAUGUUUCUAGAGUUGAGUCUAACAAGGAGUAAUAAGUCUCACACAUUGCCUAGGACACAUUUAUUCUAUAUAUAUAUAUAAAUGUACUAUCUAUCUAUUUAUCUAUAUCCAAUUUAAGUAAGAAUUACAACUUGUCACCAGAUAGAUAUGUUUCUAAGAACACUAAUAGCUCUUAUGACCUCUAAAAACUAGUGUUUGGGAAAUAGGUAGAUAUGAACUAAACAUAUAUAUCCUUACACCUUUAUAAGAUACCCCCAAUAACUUUUAAUUUAAAAGGUACGUGGCAAAAAAAACAAACUUACAUGGUUUAGUCAUAAAGUUAAAUAAAAUGAGCAAUAAAAAUUAAAAUUUCUGGUGUAAUGACAAUUCAAACUAAAUUAUAUCCUAUAAAGUUUGCAAAAAAGUGAUUUCAUAAGAAAUAUAAUUAGUAUUUAGAGGAAUUAUCAUUAUAAUUUUGAAGUAGGCUUAUACUUGUGUAAAGAUGGCACGUGAUUGGCUUUUUAUUCUGCCAUCUUUGCUCUUGUUAUUACAUAUACUUUCCUAUCACUUUAUCUUUCAAUGCAAUUCAUAAAACCUUCUAUUCAAGAGUAAUCAAAAUUAAAAUCAACAGUGUUCCAAAAAUGCAUUCCAGUGUAUUGUUUACAGCAUCCUAAGGUUGGUGAUGUAUGUCUUCCUAAAUAUGCCACUGGGUAAAUGGAACUGUUCCCUCUACAGCUGCACCUGGCUAACAGGAGUAAGCAGAGGUUAAGAUCUACCCUGUACUCAGCAAGGAUACAAAACAUUUAUCUGUCAAAAAACUUGUAUGCAUAAUAUAUAAAGAACUGAAUGAUUCACUAAUAAAACUACACAGAAUCAUCAAAGUAUCUAAAAUAUCAAAGUAUCUUUAAUGAGACACUACAUAAAAAAACAAUGUAUAGGGCUGGGGCACAGUGGCAGAGCACUUGCUUAGUAUGUAGGAGGCACUGGGUUCAGUCCUUAGCAUUGCAUAAAAAAAAUAGAUAAAAUAAAAUAGUAUUUUUUUUAAAAAAGACUUAAAAAAGAGAGAUGGACAGCAAGUAAGCAAAAGAAAAUAUGUUCAACAUCAUUGUCCUUUAGUAAAAUAAUUAAAAUUAUAACUAGAUAUCACUACAUUCAUAUAAAAAUGUCAAAAAAUUUAGAAACAAAACAAUAGUGUCAGCAACAUGACUACAAAAUUCUGGCAAGGAAGCAGAGCAACUGAAACACUAUCUCGAAUAUGCUGAUGGGCCUGCAAAGUGGUACAACCACUUCAAAAGACUUCUUGGUGUUUUCGUAUAAAGUCAAACAUAUACUUACUAUAAGAUCCAGCUCUUUUUUUUUUAAAGAGAGAGAGAAUUUUUAAUAUUUAUUUUUUAGUUUUCGGCGGACACAACAUCUUUGGUGUAUGUGGUGCUGAGGAUCGAACCCAGGCUGCACACAUGCCAGGAGAGUGCACUACCGCUUGAGCCACAUCCCCAGCCCAAGAUCCAGCUCUUAAAAUGUAAAAAGGAAAGUAUAUGUCUAUACAAUUGUUUAUAGAGACAUUACAUAUUACAGCCCCAAAUUGGAAAUAACCAAAUACCCAUUAACUGAUAAAUGCACAGUUAAUUAUAUUUUAUACUAUAGAAAACUAUUGAGCACUAUAAAGAAACACAUAGCUUACACAUGCAUCAAGCCACACAUUUUUGAAACAUGCAUCAAGCUUGACGAAAGAAGCCAGAUGCAAGAUUUCACACUAUAUGAGUCAUUCCAAUGACAUUCUACCAAAAGGCAAAACUAUAGAAAUAUAAAUCUCCUCAAUGGUUAUUAUGGACUGAGGAUAGGGAAAAAGAUAUGAUCAUAAAAGUUAUAAAAGGAAACAAUUUAAUGUGAUGGAAACAUUUAUAUUCUAUAUCUACACUCAGGUAGUUUUCUACAUACAUUUGUCCCAAAUGGCCAAACUACACAACCUAAAAAGGGCAGAUUAUGUUGUCAGCAAUUUAUAACUAAACAACCACAGUUAAAAAACAACAUCCCUUCUUUCAAAAAAAAAAAAAAGUCAUAUAGUUUCUAUUAUGUAUGAUAAAAAUGUGCUGAAAAAGAAAUUUUAAAAGACCUCAAAUAUUGGAAUGAUGGAGUUGAAUAGUUUAAAAUUAUUAAUUAUGAAUUCUCCUCAAACUGAUCAUGAGAUCAAAUACAAUCUAUCAAAAUCUCAAACUCAUUUUUUAUUUUGUUUUUCCAGUGUGUAUGGGAAUAGAGUGAAGAGAUUGACAAGCUGGUUUUUAAACUUAUAAGGAAAUGGGAAAUGUAAAGAUACUUAGAAGACACUGGAAAUAAUGAAGAACAACAGUGGAGUAUGUACAUUUACAAAUAUUAAGAAUUACAAAUCUAUUGGAUCUAAUCAAUGUGGCAUUUAUGCUAGGAUAAAUAGACUACAUUUGUAGAAUUGAGAAUCAGGAAAAAAUCUAUACAUAUACAAAAUAGAUGACUGCAAAAUAAUGCAAAUAGUUAGAAAAUGAUGACCGUUCCAAUUAAUAUUACUGGCUUAAUGGAGAUAUACUUAUGGGGAAAAAUAUCUUUGUCAUUAUCUCACACCAUACAACAAGUAAUUUCAAGGUGUCUUAUAGUUCUAAUGUGAAAGUUGAAACAAUAAGGUCUCAUAAGAAAGCACAGGAAAAUAGCUUCAUAUAUAUGUAGAUGUUCCUUCAACAUGAUACAAUAAGCAUGAACAGUAAACAUAUUGAUAAUAACAACAUAAAAUCUAUAGAGUUCUAUCCAAUAAAAUGCCUCAUUAAGAGAAUGCAGUGAUGAGUUCACAGUUCUGAGCCACAUACUCAGAAGAUUUGCAACAUAUAUUCUGCAAAAUCUCAAAUCAAAUAUAUCUGCAAAUCAUGAAGAAAAAUGCAAAUAAAUUAACUAAUAAUUAAUUAAUUAAACUAACUAAUACAAACUAAGGCCCAAUAGGGUAUAAAAUGUUAUUCAACACCAUUAAUCAUUAACAAUAUGCAAAGUCUAACCCUAAAAUGACAAAACAAACUGAAUAACCUGGACUAAUUUAGAAACUCUUCAGUAAGCAUUAGCAAUGAUACAGAGCAACUGGAGUUUUCAUAACUUACUGAUGAAAACUUUAAGGUAUUUCAUACCCCAUUGAUACUAAUAAUAGGAGAACCAUAGCAUCAAGAGAAGUAAAAAUGGGACAAUUUUCUUGCACAGAGAUGAAAAACAAAAGUAUUAGUGUAAGGAUUCAUUAAAAUGCCUGACACAAUUAUCUGGUAACAACUCAUGUAAAUAAGAGUGAUCAAAAAUAUUUCUAAACGUUACAUGCACACUGAUUUGGCGUUUUUCAAAUACAUGAAUAUACAUAGGGGUAACUAUAUACUUUCAUACUUAUAUUAAUUCUUGUUAAGUAUAAUACUCAUAAUAUGUAUUAAGUAUAGGUAUUAUAAUACUUAAAAAGCAUAUGCAAGUACAUAUAAAAUGUAUGUAAGUAUUAUGCUUAUAAAAUAUAUAUGAUUUAUAUAUUUAUAUUUAUACUUUUAUAUAAGUCAUGUAUAUUUUUAGUAGUUCAUCUGUAAAACAAAGUCUUCAAUUAUGUAAGCUUACUAAAACCUAAUAAAAUCAUUCUGCUACUGCUGCCUCUGGCAAUAAUUUCAAAUACUCUGACUCUGUAGAGUUAGAAAUGGUCAUGCGUUAUUCACCUAAGAAAUAAAGGAAUUGUUUCAACAGUUUGUUAAUCGUGUGAAAGUUCUACUGAGCUAUGUUUAAAAUCCCAGGAUAGUGAUCAGUUUAUCUUUGUGUAAUAUAUUCUUGAAGCAUAGCUAAAGGCAAGUUAGUAUUUUAUUCUUAUGAGGAUCUAAACAUUAUACAUCAAAUGAUUGGUAGGCAGGUACUUUAUUCUGACAAAUAGAUCUCAAGAAAAAAAAAAAAACAACAGAAGUGUGAUUAGAGGAAAUUCCAAGCUAGAUGGCCAUAAUUAUAACAACUAAAAAAUGAUCACUCAUCAAAAUGACCUUCACUUAAUCUAUGUGAGGAAAAACACUCACUAUGUUAUAUUUUCUAAACUUUCCUUG
rnacentral:lncRNA from 1 species